CCGGGUUCACGCCAUUCUCCUGCCUCAGCCUCCCGAGUAGCUGGGACUACGGGCGCCGCCACCACGCCCGGCUAAUUUUUUGUAUUUUUGGUAGAGACGGGGUUUCACCGUGUUAGCCAGGAUGGUCUCAAUCUCCUGACCUCGUGAUCUGCCCGCCUCCGCCUCCCAAAGUGCUGGGAUUACAGGCGUGAGCCACCGUGCCCGGCCAGGUGUGGGGAGUUUUAAAGUCAUGGCAAAAGGGAAACUGCUAGUCACACACAACAGGAAUACUGAAAAUCAAGAAAACUGAUCAAAUUACGCAUUGGUACAGGGGGAAGAAGUGCCAAUCUGGAGCUGUGGAAUCACCGGGAGUCAGUACUGGAUAGCCGGGGAUAAAAUAAGUUAUGUAAGCCAGGUACAUUGGCACACAACUGUAGUUUCAUCUACUAGGAAGACCGAGGCAGGAGGAUCGCUUGAGCCUGGGAGUUCUGGGCUGUAAUGUGCUAUAUACAAAUGGGGUGCCCACACUAAGUUAGGCAUCAACAUGGUGACCUCCCAGGAGUGGGAGACCACCAGGUUGCCUAAGGAGGAGUGAACCACUCAGGUUGGAAAUGAAGCAGAUCGAAACUCCCGUUCUGAUCGGUAGUGGGAUCAUGCCUGUGAAUAGGCAACUCUAGCCUGGGCAACACAGUGAGACCCCAUCUCUUAAAAAUAAUUAAAUAAGAAAACAAAAUGAGUUAUAAAUCAACUUUUAACAACUAUUCCUGCAUCAAAGCAUAUUUCCUAUAUGCAUUGUGAUAUAAUCAAUAAUAGAGAUCACUUAUUUUUAGUUCUUUUUUUAUAACAAGGCUUAAUUUAGAAAACUCAGAAUACAGAUAGGCACAAAGAAAAGUAAAUACAUGUAUUUUAACUACCUAUAAUCCCACUACCCAGAAAUAACACUACUGAUAUUUUACCAUAUACUUGGUUCUCCCUGUGUGUCUGCAUCCACAGAUUCAACCAACUGUGAAUGGAAAAUACUCUAAAACAAAACAAUUUAAAAAACACAAUAAUAAUAAACAUUUUAAAAAUUACAUAUAACAACUAUUGACAUAGCAUUUAUAUUGUAUUAGAUGUUGUAAGUCAUCUAGAAUUGAUUUAAAGUAUCUCAGAGAAUGUGCAUAGGUUAUAUGCAAAUAUUACACCAUUUUAUAUAAGGGACAUGAGCAUCCCUGGAUUUUGGUUUGGUGUCCUGGAACCAAUGUCCUGUGAUAGGUAGGAAUGAUUGUAUAGUCUUUGAGACACACAAACAUAUACACGACCAGAAAGAAAUAUAUGCUUGAUGUUUUUUAAAUGUAUCUUACAAUGGUUUUGUAUUUUUCUUUAAAUAAUAUAGUAAAUAAUUAUUUAAAUAAUAUAUUAAAAGCUUUUUUCCGUGUACAAAUAUAUAGUCAUGUGUUGCAUAAUGACAUUUCAGUCAAUGACAAACUGCAGAUAUGGAGGUGGUCCCAUAAGAUUAUAAUGAAGCUGGAAAAUUCCUAUUGCCUAGUGAUGUCAUCGUGCAAUGCAUGACUCACAUGUUUGUGGUGAUGCUGGUAUAAACAAAUCCACUGCAGUCCCAGUCAUAUAAAAGUACAGUGCAUAUGAUUAUGUACACUACAUAUUUGAUCAUAAUAAAUGAUUAUCUUACUGAUGUAUGUGUUUACUAUACUUUUAAUCAUUAUUUUAGAGUAUACUCCUUCUACCUCCAAAAAAAAGUUAACUGUAAAUAGUCUCAGGCAGGUCCAUCAAGAGGUAUUACAGAAGGCAUUGAUAUUAUAGGAAAUGACAGCUCCACGAGUAUUGUUGCCCCUGACGAUCCUGCAGUGAGACAAGAUGUGGAGGUAGAAGCCAGUGAUAUUAAUGAUCCUGACCCUGUGUAGGCCUAGGCUAAUGUGUACGUUUGUGUCAUAGUUUUUGAACAAAAAAUUAUAAGUAAAAACAUAAAAAAUUUAAAAAUAGAAAAAAGCUUACAGAAUAAGGUUAUAAAGAAAAUAUUUUUUGUAUAGCUGAACUAUGUGUUUGUGUUUUAAGCUGUUAUUACAAAAAAAUAAAAUGUUAAAAAAUUUAAUUCAUAAAAUAAAAAAAGUAAGCUAGGGUUAAUUUAUUAUUGAAGAAAGAAAAUUUUUUAAAAUAAAUUUAGUAUAACCUAAAUGUAGACUUCUUAAGUCUACAGUAGUAUAAUGUCCUAGGCCUUCAUAUUUACUCACCACUCACUCAAUGACACUGAGAGCAACGUCCAGUCCUGCAAGCUCCAUUCAUGGGAAGUGUCCUAUACAGGCAUACCAUUUUAAAUAUAUAUACAUAUAUAUAUUUUGUUUAUAUAUACAUUAUUCUGUUUAUAUAUAUAUAAACUGUAUUUUUACUGUACCUUGUCUAUGUUUAGAUAUGGCUAGAUACACAAUCACAAUACCAUCAUGUUGCAAUUGCCUACAGUAUUCAGUACAGUAACAUGCUGUACAGGUUUAUAGCCUAGGUGAAAUAGUCUAUACCAUAUAGUCUAGGUGGGUAGUAGGCUAUAUUAUCUAGAUCUGGGUAAGUACAAUCUAUAAAGUCCUCAGAACAAAAUCACCUAACAAAGCAUUUCUCAGAGCAUGUCCCUAUUAAGUGGCAUAUGAUUGUAAUUAUGUUUGGACUGCAUUUUCUGAUAAGGACUUAUAGAGUUCUAACUUUACUUUUUCCCAAGCGAUUAGACCAUUAUGUUAAACUAGUCAUUGUACAAAAUAACUUUUCCUCAUUGAUUUGAGUGUAAUUUUUAGCUUAUAAUAAAUUAUAACAAACAGUUGGGUAUAUUUCUGAGCUUUCCACUCAAUUCAUUUAUCUACCUAUUCCUGGUUCCAUAUGUACCAUAUUUUAAUUACUAUAGCUUUAAAAAAAUGUUUUGCUAUCUGGAGGUAAGACCCUAUGCAGAAUUAUUUCCCUAAAAAUGUAUAGGCUAUUUUAUCAGAUGAUCAAGUUUUUAAAAAAUCUUGUGUUUAAAAAUUUGGGAAGUUAAAAAAUUUAUUUCCACACUUCUCUUUGCAUAGAAAAACUGAAUUCUGAUUUAUUUAAACACCCAUACUUUGAAUUUCUAUUACUAAGCUAAUUAUUAUAAUUAUUGUUAUUAUUGUUUUUGAGGCAGGGUCUUGCUGCU
rnacentral:lncRNA from 10 species